rnacentral:lncRNA from 1 species
GAAAGACUCCAACCAGCCUGCCCACUGAGGUGGCACCUCAGGAUAUUCACCAUGUCUGUAGGGAGUGUGGCCCCUCCUUUUCCUGUGUGAAAUCUGGGAUUUGAAUUGCUGGGCAGGAAGUGCUCUAGCAGGGACUCUGGUCUAGUGAGAGUUCCUGUUUCCCUCUUUUUUUCCAUUUUCACCCAAUAAAACCCUGUUUUGCUCACCCGUCAAACUGUCUGCGAGCCCAAAUUUUCAUGGCCGUGGGACGGACAAGAACCCGUCUUCAGCUGAACUAAGGAAAGUCCUGCAACAACAGUAGGGGGAGAACCCACAAAUCCAAAAGCACAGUCAUUCAUAAGAAGUGAAACAGAAAAUCAAGGACCAUUGACCAGAGCACAGAGUGGAGACCAGAAGAGUAUGGUAUCAUGGAAGCCAAAAGAAUAAGGUUUAAAAUUGAUCUCCAGGCAGUUAACGUUGCUUGGCUCCUGGAUCUACGUUACCCUGACAUCUGCUUCUGUCGUCGUGUCUUCUCUGACCCUGCAACUCCUGCCUUCAUCUUCUGAGGCACCAUUGUGAUUAUAUCUGGCCCAACCAGAUAAUUCAGAAUAAUUUCCCCAAUUCAAUCCUUAACUUAGUCACCUCUAC